UACGUAGGGGCCGAGCGUUGUCCGGAGUUAUUGGGCGUAAAGCGCGCGCAGGCGGCUUCGCGCGUCCGACGUGAAAGCCCCCGGCUCAACCGGGGAGGGUCGUUGGGUACGGCGGAGCUUGAGGGCGGUAGGGGUUGGUGGAAUUCCCGGUGUAGUGGUGAAAUGCGUAGAGAUCGGGAGGAACACCUGUGGCGAAGGCGGCCAACUGGGCCGACCCUGACGCUGAGGCGCGAAGGCGUGGGGAGCGAACGGG
rnacentral:rRNA from 1 species